UGGGGAAUUUUGGACAACGGGGGAAACCCUGAUCCAGCCAUCCCGCGUGUGCGAUGAAGGCCUUCGGGUUGUAAAGCACUUUUGGCAGGAAAGAAACGUCAUGGGUUAAUACCCCGUGAAACUGACGGUACCUGCAGAAUAAGCACCGGCUAACUACGUGCCAGCAGCCGCGGUAAUACGUAGGGUGCAAGCGUUAAUCGGAAUUACUGGGCGUAAAGCGUGCGCAGGCGGUUCGGAAAGAAAGAUGUGAAAUCCCAGAGCUCAACUUUGGAACUGCAUUUUUAACUACCGGGCUAGAGUGUGGCAGAGGGAGGUGGAAUUCCGCGUGUAGCAGUGAAAUGCGUUGAUAUGCGGAGGAACACCGAUGGCGAAGGCAGCCUCCUGGGAUAACACUGACGCUCAUGCACGAAAGCGUGGGGAGCAAACAGG
rnacentral:rRNA from 1 species